GUCGAUCUUGAACUCGGUUUCCCAAGUGAUUUAUUCCCUUUGUGUGACAUUGCACUAUUGCAGUUGCAGUCGAAGUCCUCGCGUUGCUGAGUCCCUCAAACAGCCUGCUGAUUUCUGAGCACAACAUCAAUCUUAAGUGAUUUCGUCGGCCGAAAGCGUCAGACGUUGAAUUCUGAGCACAGCAUCACCAUGGCUCAAAAUUAUUUGGUCGGCCGAAAGCGUCAGACAUUGAAUUCACCAUCUGAUAAGGGUAUGAAGGUGAAUUCCAUCAGUGCUGUACUUAAACAUUCUCUGUCAGUAGUUCCAUGUCCAGACGGGACAGAACAUCUAUGGGAUAGAAUCAUAUGCUACGUUGGACUUGGUUAUUCAGUGAGAAGAAUAACGUGAGCUGUACUUAAACAUUCUCUGUCAGUAGUUCCAUGUCCAGACGGGACAGAACAUCUAUGGGAUAGAAUCAUAUGCUACGUUGGACUUGGUUAUUCAGUGAGAAGAAUAACGUGAGAAGAAUAACAACACACAACAUUUCUCAUUAGACUUGCAGUUAGGGAUGACGACUUCAAAGACAAAACAUCUGGAACAGGUUGGAAAGAAUUGCUUCUCGUUCCUUCCAACAACCGGCUUUUCGUAACAACUGUUUCUAUCUCUCGUUUCACCAUGUUGAAUUCAACUUGACCGACAUCAGCAGUACUGCAGGAGCGACGCUUUCACUUUCAGAGCCUCAGGAACGCGAGGACUUCGACUGCAGUAUCACACAAAGAGACAGUGUUGCCACGAAAAAAAUCAUGAUCGGGAUCGUUUACUGUUAUAUUAAAGUCUGUUGGAGACAAUGUUGUCAUAACAUGCUUCAAAACUCUCCCUGUAACAAUUUCCCCUCCACUUUCUUUAAUGUAACUUUGCAAUUCUUCUACACAAAGAGAAAUACAGAUGGGAAAUAACAAA